UACGUAGGGCGCAAGCGUUGUCCGGAAUUAUUGGGCGUAAAGAGCUCGUAGGCGGCCUGUUGCGUCCGCUGUGAAAUCCCGGGGCUCAACCCCGGGCCUGCAGUGGAUACGGGCUGGCUGGAGGCAGGCAGGGGAGAACGGAAUUCCUGGUGUAGCGGUGAAAUGCGCAGAUAUCAGGAGGAACACCGGUGGCGAAGGCGGUUCUCUGGGCCUGUACUGACGCUGAGGAGCGAAGGCGUGGGGAGCGAACAGG
rnacentral:rRNA from 1 species